AUGAGCCAGAUGCGAAUGGAGAUAGAUUUUAGUUAAGGGCAGAAAGGAGUUCAGUUUCAAUUUCAUCGUGGGCACAAUCGGUUCUGUGAUAAAAUAGUGACCAUUUUUCUAGAUCGUGUUUUUGGUCGCAAGAGGCUCCAGCACCAGAGUCUUCUUGCAGAUCAAGACAAAAUACACAGCUCGGAACAAGAUCUCCCGCCUUGGGAUGGGGGACGGGACAAUCAGUGGGAAACACGAACCCACACUUUGGGAAUGCCGCCAGGGCCCCGACAUCGGUUAUUAAUCAGUUUCCGAUAAUGCCGUCGACCAGGCGACAAGAGUUUUGAAUAAAAACUCACAGAUGUCUGGGGAGCGAGAGGUGUACACUGUACAGUGAUCACUCUGUGCAGCGAGGACGUGUUGCAGUCACACUUUUGUUGUUAAUUAAACGUGGCAAGCAAACGCCGCUUUCCCAAAUCCCCCUCUUCCAUGGCGGAUCUCAAGUGUCUUGUAUGGGAUGUCGAUGUCUUCCCACUAAUGCCGGAUUCAUGCUAAGUGGCCAGGCAGCCAUCUAGUUGUGACAAGUGUCUGAAUCACCGAACACUGCAGCGGGGAUGACAUAUGGAGGCAGGGAGAGCCAGCGACACGCAGCCGACAAUCGAUUAAUCAGCGAAAAAUAAUAAGAAACACGCUCGUCCCACCCUCCCCGGAAUUCACGCCCCCUCCCGAGCCCACAAGCCCAGCCAGCCCCAAGAUGCAACUGCAGGCGAGUCGGAAUCUCUGAAUGCGGAACUGAUGUCGCUCGAGGCACUCAAAAAAUGGGUGACUUCAACAUUUCGGGCAGUCGAAUAAAUCGAGGAACAAACAGCAUCCGAGGCGAACAGAAUGUGGCGUUAUGACGGAGAUUCUAAGUUGAAUAAAACUUUGUGUUUGACUUUUU